GGUCUUGUAGUGUAGUGGUUAUCACUCGGGAUUUUGAUAUCAACUGGAUCAAAUCGGUUGGCAAUCCAAACUUCCCGAAACCCAGGUUCGAACCCUGGCAAGACCU